UACGUAGGGGUCGAGCGUUGUCCGGAGUUACUGGGCGUAAAGAGCGCGCAGGCGGUCGAUCAAGUCGAGUGUGAAAGCCCCCGGCUCAACUGGGGAGGGUCAUUCGAUACUGAUCGACUCGAAGGCAGGAGAGGGUAGUGGAAUUCCCGGUGUAGUGGUGAAAUGCGUAGAUAUCGGGAGGAACACCAGUGGCGAAGGCGACUACCUGGCCUGUUCUUGACGCUGAGGCGCGAAAGCUAGGGGAGCAAACAGG
rnacentral:rRNA from 1 species